ensembl:lncRNA
AGACUAUAGAGACUAUCACAUGAACUAGCAUGAUAGUAAAAAAGCUAAAUGAUAAACUGUCAUUAUAUUGAACUAGGUAACCCAAGAACCGGCAUGAGAGUAGACAUGCUAGGCCACUAAUUAGCAAUAUAGUACACAAGCUAAUUGAAAUAUUAGCACUGUGUAAACAUUUUGUGUGAACUUUUAUUUAUUAUAAUCAUUUUUAUUGUAGCUUUAACCUACAAACUAGCAUUAUAGUAAACAUGCUAACCCAGAAAUGAGCAUUUCCGUGAACUACCUAUGAACUAGCAUUACAUUAAGAUGAUGACAUUUUGAAGUAGUUUUGAGUUGAAUUAAAACACACUGAGAUUAAUUGAACUGUCCAAAUGUAAAAGUUAUUUGUCAGUGCUAAUGCGAUGCUAUGAAAUCAGUUAUUAUGCUAAUUUCUAGAUCAUGUGCGUUGAAUGAUGUUUAACGGCUGUCGUUCUACGCACAGGUUGGAGGAGGAGGAAAAAAAAGCACGAGCAGAGUCUAACAGUCGGCCGCAAAGCCUCUAUAAAUAUCUGACCCUCAGUCGUUUUUCUUGGCACAGACACGAGCUCGGCGGCGGGAUGCUUGACGUUUCGGACCGUGCUCAGGUCUAAAUUUAAUCUCGUACACGUGAGAGUGUUUUCCCUGGAAGUCCAGCUCCACGGGAACAGUUUCACAGUGACACAGGAGGCGUGAGCUGCUUUCUUCCUGUCAAACGUACACAAGUGUACUUAGUGUACAUAAUGUAACGCCACAUUUCAGUAUUCUAUACACUCCAGUAUUCAGUACAUUUCAGUAUUCAGUACAUUUCAGUAUUCUAUACACUCCAGUAUUCAGUACAUUUCAGUAUUCUAUACACUCCAGUAUUCAGUACAUUUCAGUAUUCAGUACAUUUCAGUAUUCUAUACACUCCAGUAUUCAGUACAUUUCAGUAUUCCAUACACUCCAGUAUUCAGUACAUUUCAGUAUUCUAUACACUCCAGUAUUCAGUACAUUUCAGUAUUCUAUACACUCCAGUAUUGAGUACAUUUCAGUAUUCAGUACAUUUCAGUAUUCUAUACACUCCAGUAUUCAGUACAUUUCAGUAUUCUAUACACUCCAGUAUUCAGUACAUUUCAGUAUUCAGUACAUUUCAGUAUUCUAUACACUCCAGUAUUCAGUACAUUUCAGUAUUCAGUACAUUUCAGUAUUCUAUACACUCCAGUAUUCAGUACAUUUCAGUAUUCUAUACACUCCAGUAUUCCAAACAUUUCAGUAUUCAGUACAUUUCAGUAUUCUAUACACUCCAGUAUUCAGUACAUUUCAGUAUUCAUACAUUUCAGUAUUCAGUACAUUUCAGUAUUCUAUACACUCCAGUAUUCAGUACAUUUCAGUAUUCCAUACAUUUCAGUAUUCAGUACAUUUCAGUAUUCUAUACACUCCAGUAUUCUAUACAUUUCAGUAUUCCAU